AGGGGAUGCGUCUAUGCAGGAGAUGAAUGCAGCUGAAUCAAUUGAAGCCAAACAAAUGCAGAUGUCUUCCGAUCAGCCAAAUGAUUUGAAGGCGAUAGAAGAUAUCAAUGCCAAUGAAGUUUUAGCUGAUGCUGUUGAGGCUUCUGUUGAAGUGUCUCAAUCAGUGGUAUCUGAAAAGACGUCAAAUAAUGAAAGUUAUGAGUCAAAGCCACAGGAGGCAGAGGGGAAAUUUUCAGUUGUGGAGUCCAAGUUACUUGAGGCAGAGGAUCAAGCCACAGAAAAUGUUCCCAACAAAGCGGAACUACAGCAUAAUGAGAGAGUUCCUGAUUCUACGGAGUUGAAAUUGGCCUUUCCCGAAGCUGAAGUUAAAUCUUUAGAUGGUGUGAAUGUAGAUAAGGAUCAUGAGCGACAUGAUAAGGCAGAGCAGGACGAACAGAGAAUCUCCACUGAACUUUCACCUAAUGCACCUACAUUGGAAUUGGAAGCUGUUUCGCCUAAUGAAAUAGAUUGUGGUUGUCAAAUGGAGCUUUCUGACUCAUUCAAAGCUGGUGAAGGGAUGGAAGAUGUGCAUGUGAUGUCUCUGGCGAAAGAUUUACCUGCAUUAGACAACCCUGAACUGCUUAAAGAUUUUAAAGACUCCAAUAAAUACAAAUCUAGUUUUCCAUUGGAUCUAGGCUCUUCUGAAGAAAUUUUCUCUGUCAAAGAUGACGUUUUUGCUGCAUCAGAGGUGACUCAAUCUUUUGUGGGCACUGGCAGG
rnacentral:misc_RNA from 1 species